UACGGGGGGGGCAAGCGUUGUUCGGAAUUACUGGGUGUAAAGGGCUCGUAGGCGGCCAACUAAGUCGGAUGUGAAAUCCCCAGGCUUAACCUGGGAACUGCAUCCGAUACUGGAUGGCUUGAAUCCGGGAGAGGGAUGCAGAAUUCCAGGUGUAGCGGUGAAAUGCGUAGAUAUCUGGAGGAAUACCGGUGGCGAAGGCGGCAUCCUGGACCGGCAUUGACGCUGAUGAGCGAAAGCUAGGGGAGCAAACGGG
rnacentral:rRNA from 1 species